UGCAGGUGGAACUUAGGUUUCAUUCGUUUCAUUUUUUUAGUUGUUCGUUCUAAUGUAGUGACUUUUAGUCCCCUUGAUUCAUUACGUUCAACUUUGUGAACCAAUAUUUUGACAGAAUCGGGUUUGAUAUACAGUAAAUUUUCAAAUUCAUGUAAAAUUUGCCAAAAUGAGUUUGAGUUGCAUUGAGCAGCUGUUGAGAAGGAUCGCCUAAGCAGAACAUGGAAAUAUUGCGGGAUUCCUUAACAAUUAGCAUCACACUAAUAAAAUUUUUUUUAAAAAAAACGAUGAAACAAAGAGCAAUGAGACACUCAACGAUUCAUCAGGUGGAAGGCAUCAAUAGAAACUAUGGCCGAUAUGGGACAAUUCUUCCUGUUGGAACAUGCAGUGGAACAGCGUAAAGAAUGUAGCAGAUUGUUUCUGAGACCAAGAAUUCAGAUACAAAACAAUGUAAAUAGCAGGUGCAUAGAAAAAAAAUCGAUGUUGGACCACUGAGUGAGAUGUUGGACCACUCGGAGAAAUGUUGGACCGCUUACGUUACAGAAUGGACAGAGCUUAAUCUCAUUUUCAUUCGUUGAUGUUAAACAGUGACAGACUUGAUGUUACAUCAUGGAAUGCAGCACAAAA